rnacentral:tRNA from 1 species
GGCGAGAUGGCCGAGCGGUCUAAGGCGCCAGACUAAGGAUCAGCACAUUCGAUGUGCAGUUUAUCUGGUCCUCCGGGGCGUGGGUUCGAAUCCCACUCUCGUCA